GGAUUAGAUACCCUGGUAGUCCUAGCCGUAAACGAUGUGCACUAGGUGUCGGGCCCUCUGGGUUCGGUGCCGCAGUUAACACACUAAGUGCACCACCUGGGGAGUACGGUCGCAAGACUGAAACUCAAAGGAAUUGACGGGGACCCGCACAAGCGGUGGAGCAUGUGGUUUAAUACGACGCUACGCGUGGAACCUUACCAGGACUUGACAUGUAUUUGAAAUCCUAUUGAAAGAUAGGACCUGUCCUAAAGACACAGAUACACAGGUGUUGCAUGGCUGUCGUCAGCUCGUGCCG
rnacentral:rRNA from 1 species